GUGUCACCCCCAGGACUAUUGCGAGUGGGGGAAGUCAGCGCUCUCGGGUCUCGGGAGAAGUCCGGGAAGUGCGCGGGGUGGGGGCUCCCGGGUAGACAGGUCUGGAAGGCGGCUCCCCUAGGGCCAGAGCACGAGGAACAUCUUUUGAGAUAAAAAAGCUGUUACACUUUCUAGAGCUGCUAUCAGUGACUGUACAAAGCAGUCCUCAUUAGGGACACAGUGUCUCCGGAAAACCUCCAGCAUCUAACGGAUUGGUGGAUGUCUGAGUGUCAGGGGAGGCUGCGCCAGGGAGCACAUUUACGAUGCAGAACUGGAAACCCGGAGAAGGGGAGCAAGCAGGUGAGGUGAUAGGAGCCGCUAAGCGACCUGGAUCACCUUGGCUGGAACCCAGGGCUCCUGACUAUCUGGAAUAGCACCGAGAAGCCUAGCCGACUCGCACGAAUUGGUGGUGCCUUUUCAUCGUUAUACUUUUGACUUGCCAAGCCUCAGCAUGGUGACAUCAGAAUGGAGAUUGUGGAACAUCUGACCUCUGCCGUGAGGUCACAUAGCUGCCUAUUAGCAUCUGGGUACCAGACUGAAUUCACGUAUUGCAGAGGCAUCUCAGCCAACCCGAGGACUCACCUCCUGAAGCAGAGCAACCCAGCAGACAUGAAGACUCUUGAAUGACACAUAACUACUUAUUUUUGUGUGCCACUGUGAUUUUGGGGGUUGUCUGUUAUGCAGCAAUAGCUGACAGUUACCUGAGUGAACUGUAUUAAUAUUUGGGAAGUUUAUUAAAUUACUGGAAAUAAAGUUUGCAUUUAGGCUCGGUUGUA